rnacentral:rRNA from 1 species
AAACCCAAUGUGAACCAUACCAAACUGUUGCCUCGGCGGGGUCACGCCCCGGGUGCGUCGCAGCCCCGGAACCAGGCGCCCGCCGGAGGGACCAACCAAACUCUUUCUGUAGUCCCCUCGCGGACGUUAUUUCUUACAGCUCUGAGCAAAAAUUCAAAAUGAAUCAAAACUUUCAACAACGGAUCUCUUGGUUCUGGCAUCGAUGAAGAACGCAGCGAAAUGCGAUAAGUAAUGUGAAUUGCAGAAUUCAGUGAAUCAUCGAAUCUUUGAACGCACAUUGCGCCCGCCAGUAUUCUGGCGGGCAUGCCUGUCCGAGCGUCAUUUCAACCCUCGAACCCCUCCGGGGGGUCGGCGUUGGGGAUCGGGAACCCCUAAGACGGGAUCCCGGCCCCGAAAUACAGUGGCGGUCUCGCCGCAGCCUCUCCUGCGCAGUAGUUUGCACAACUCGCACCGGGAGCGCGGCGCGUCCACGUCCGUAAAACACCCAACUUCUGAAAUGUUGACCUCGGAUCAGGUAGGAAUACCCGCUGAACUUAAGCAUAUCAAUAA